UGGGGAAUAUUGCACAAUGGGCGCAAGCCUGAUGCAGCCAUGCCGCGUGUGUGAAGAAGGCCUUCGGGUUGUAAAGCACUUUCAGCGGGGAGGAAGGCGACAAGGUUAAUAACCUUGUCGAUUGACGUUACCCGCAGAAGAAGCACCGGCUAACUCCGUGCCAGCAGCCGCGGUAAUACGGAGGGUGCAAGCGUUAAUCGGAAUUACUGGGCGUAAAGCGCACGCAGGCGGUCUGUCAAGUCGGAUGUGAAAUCCCCGGGCUCAACCUGGGAACUGCAUUCGAAACUGGCAGGCUAGAGUCUUGUAGAGGGGGGUAGAAUUCCAGGUGUAGCGGUGAAAUGCGUAGAGAUCUGGAGGAAUACCGGUGGCGAAGGCGGCCCCCUGGACAAAGACUGACGCUCAGGUGCGAAAGCGUGGGGAGCAAACAGG
rnacentral:rRNA from 1 species